GUUUUCUGCCGCGUGCCUGAAGCCAUGAACCUCUGCGAUACUGUAUUGAAAAGUGUGUUCGAAAGUGAAAACACUACUUCUAUAAGAGAGCGCGAUGUCAGUCGAGGUGAAAAAUAACUUUGUGACUUGUGGUUUGGUUCAUUGGAUGAUAGACUUGGUCCAUAAAAAGAAUGAACAAUUUGCAGUCUUAUCAGGCUCAUGUUUGCCGCUUGCUAGCAUUAAUAUUGCAAACAAUUAUGCUUAGUCAUGGGAGACAGAAAUCAUGAUCAUGGUUAUAAUAGGAUUAAUUGUGCAGCUCUACUAUAAACAAACAGAAGUCUGUAGUAAUACACUGCAAGGACUUGAACCUUGUGCUGAGUUUCAGCAGCGCCAGCCACCAGUGUAAGAAACUGUAGAGCAGCGGUUUGUCGGUUUAAAUCAAAAUCAUAACAUUGACAUUAUUUUCAGUAAAUUCCAUGCUUAAAAUUUAAGAGAAACAAAAUGAGUCUGAUAAUGGUGACCUGACUGUAUGCAUCUUAAACCAGAUCACAGUAAAUUGGCUGUUAUAAAAUGACUGGGACUGAGGUUUGUCCUUGACUGGUUACUGUUGUUCAUGUAGCACAUGUAGAUUCAGCAAUCACUCACACCAAAAACAUUAGCUCUGAUUGGCUAAAGGUCUCUGAGGUAACUUUGGGCCAGGAAGUCAUUGUAUUCAGAAACAGGAAUGACGAGUCAAUAUACAUUUGAUGGGGACUACAACAGCAGAAGACUACACUGGGUUCCACUCCUGUCAGCCAAGAACAGGAAUCUGGGCUACAAUGGGCACAGGCUCACAAAGACAGAACAGUUGAAGAUCAGGGGGGAAAUGUGUUUGCCCCAUUCUACUGUAAGUAAACUCUACACAAUGCAGAGUCAAAACUUCACGAGAUCAGCCAUUUCUGAAAUACAACAACCAUGCCAUGUUCAAGGACCCAGAUCAUUUUUUUUUGUCAUUCUAACGUUUGAUGUAAACAUUAACCAAAACUCAUGCCCUGUACCUGCAUGAUUUUAUGCGUUGUGCUACUGACACAUGAGUGUCUAAUCGGAUAACAGCAUGAAUGAGCAGGUCUACAGGUGGUCCUAUUAAAGUGGUCAGCGAGUAUAAAUGCAGAUGGUACCCUGAUUUCUAAAAGAAUGGGAUACUAGACAUUGUGAUACAUUGUGCAAUACUCUCUUAAGAGAACUGCUGUAAAUAUUCCACAAUCAGGCUGUUAAUUACUCUGUAAACUUAUUUCAAAAACAGCUGAACAUGUCAUGCAGAGAUAAUCAUCACAUACUGCUAUAUUAGGGCUGAAAUGAUCACAGUAACACUCUGAUGCAGCAUGCCCACUGGUGUUGAGUUCUGUGCCCCCAUAACGGCAGAGUUCCUCAUUUGUGUGUUUCAACUGAGAUAUAGACCUAUAUGUAAUGAUGGAAAUUACUGAAUUAAUAAUAAGUACUAGGUCUGCACUAUUAUAGUGGUGUGUUGAGAAGUGAGAUUCACAUGUUAAGGCUCGUCUUGUCUUUCCAUUGUUAAUGUUUAUAAAAAUGAAUUCCUAUCUAUACAGAUAGUGCACAUUUUUACAGUUUCCCUGGUUUUUGUGCAGUUUAUCCUGGCAGAAUAACUCAUGAGUGAGGAAGAAUGUAAUCCAGUGACUGAGGAUAAGGGCUUUGUUAUACAGUUCUUUUCUGGCAGAAUGGGGAUUUGAACUUGUAUCCUACCAGUCACUAACAGAACCUCUACUGAACCACUGCCCAUUUUAGCACUUCCAAAAUUACUGUCUUUACAAUCCAGAAAAAGUGUGACAUAACCUCCUAUAAAUGUGUGAAUCUGACUGGAACGAGCAAAGCAGGUGGUGAAACCAUGUAAGAGGAACUUGUACUUGGAGAAAGUUUUGCUUAUUUGAAUUUGCAUAUCCUGUGCUACCUCAGUCAUCGGAUGCAUCCUCAAAACAUAAUGGACGCGGCACUCCAUGCUUUAUGCAGGGCAGGUGACCAUCCCAUCUGCACUGGUUAGGUCUUCUGUAAAUGCUAAUGUGCUGGAAAAACAAGAACAAACAGCAGCUCUACUUUUCUGGCAAUGCCUAUAAUGUUUGAUUGACUACAAUACAGUACAGUAUGGAAUAGAACCAGCAAAAUUCAGAAACAUCUGCAGCAGAUUUUAAGUUCAUAACACUAUAAAUAUUGGGAGUGUAUAAUCUGAAAUGGUGUAAAUGAAGCUCCGGCUUCACCUGUGCGCAUACAUGUAAAAUAAAGCAGCAUGGAAGGGACUGUGUAUUAUUUCACAUGUUCAUAUGUUGGACUGAAACAUACAGAAUAUGAAACACAGAUGAAAUGAAAGUAUCUGCUCUGACAGACAAAUAAGAACCGGUAAUGAUGUCAGUAACGUUUGCAAUGUACAUGGCCAACUAGUUACAAGUAAUUAUGCAAUUAAUAAAUCAAACAUUUGCAGAGCUGUGGCACCAGAUAGAGCCUUGGCUGAUCAGUUAAUACAGCACAUCAGCACUGAAUGAACUGUAUGAAACUGUCCAAACAAAGGAGCUUAAUCAUUCAGCCGAUUAGCAGAACACUUAAAGUGGCAGUCUAUCAUAAUUAGAGGCCUCUGUAGCUUGUUAGGCAAAUUGCAAUUGCAAUGAAAACAUUAAUAAGGCUUCCAUAAGCACCUAACCAACCCAGGGAGUAGAGCCGAUCUGUUCAGCCUGCGAGUGCAGCUAAUUACCAAGCCGCAAAAAUACUGUCUUAUUUAGAUGUCUGUAAUAAAAUAUUUGCAUGUCUCCUCCGUGCUGUAGCUUGCAUGUUUGUUACCUUGAGAAAAAACUAUUCACAUGAUGAAAUUGGGACAUUUUCGGUUAUAUCUAGUUCUAAAACUACAAACUUUCCUGAACUGAAAAAAAGUGUCUAUUUCGCAUACAUCUCAAUCAGAAGUAAAGGUUUAGCAUUUGAAAGUCUGGUUACCCCAAAAGUAAAAAACUGCAUUUAAUGAUUCUAUUCUGACUGCGACACAAGAGCAUCCCGGACAUUUGGUCAGAUAUGAGUAAUACGUACAAAACUUGUCAAAAGUUUUGAGACAUUUGACUGAAAUAUUUAUCAAGAGCUUAAAAACCUUUUGAUCUGAAGGUGUAUGAUUAAAUGUUUGAAAUCGGUGUUGUAGGCAAAUAAUUGUGCCAACAAAUUCAUUUCUUUCAUUAGAAAACAGAACAUUUUAUUUACUCAGAAUGAAAUAUUCCGAAAAGCAGCCAAUAAAUGUCCAGCAUCGGUGGGAACCCCUUUAUUACAGUUUAAAAAGCAUCUCAGGGAGAUUCCUCAAGAAACUGGUGGAGAAAAUGCCAAGAAUACAUUUCUGGAAAUUCUAGGCAAAAACGGUGUCUACUUGAAAGAUGUUAAAAUACUAAAUUAUUUUGAUUUUUUUAUCAUCAUCAUCAUCAUCAUCACAACAUAAUUCCCAUAGUUGCAUUUGUCUUAUUCCAGAGUUUUGAUAACUUUAUUAUCAUUAUUAUAAAAUGUGGAAAAAAUAAAAAUAAAGAAUGAGUGUGUCUAAACUUUUGACUGGCAGUGCACAUAUCACUAAAUAACCACUUCAAAAAAUGAUGACUAAAUAUAACGCAAGGUGAACUGCACGUCGAUUAGGGUAAAGUGUAGAUACUGACGACAGGGAAAUGCACGUGUCUCGGUGCUCGCAGAUCUGAAGUACUCUCGCUGUAUGCGCGCUUUGCUGCUUCAAUUCAUAGCACCUCAUGAUCAUGUUUAAUGCACACAAUCAGAUUAUUAUAGGAAGAUAAUGUAGUACCUCCUCUUGAUAGAGCAGUUUGCUUCACUGAUUUACUCAACAGUGAAAUGUGUCCAGUUUCCUGUCAUUCCGUGUCAUCUGUUCAUUGGCACUGCAACGUACAGUAAACUUGUGUCAAAUUUUGCAUCACUUUAUCAGAUGUUGGUGUCGGAGCAUUUUUAGCAGUAUCCUUUAAUUGAAGGAUUAAAAUUAAUUAAAGGAUACUCAUGAAAAUGCGUAUCUAUUUGUCUGUCAGAGCAGAUAGACUUUCAUUUCAUGUUUCAUAUUCUGUAUGUUUCAGUCCAUCACAUGAACUCUGUGAAAUAAUACACAAUCCCUUCCAUGCUGCUUUAUUUCACACGUAUGCACACAAAUGAAUCCUGAGCUUCAUUUACAUCUUCUCAGAUUAUACACUCCCAAUAUUUAGUGUUAUGAACUUAAAACCUGCUGCAGAUUUUAUCUGAAUUUUGCUGGUUCUAUUCCAUACUGUCUGAGCAUUUUUAGGGAGUAUCCUUUAAUUUAGCACAGUAUCGGACGGAUACCCAAUAGCAGUAUCACCAUAUAUGCGUCCCUAAAAAUGACAUUGCCCAGCCAUGCAUUUUGCUCAGAAAUUUUCCAAACUUAGAUCGUCAUUAAGAUAGAAAUAAAAACCACUAAAGCUGGAAAGCCAUGCUGCUUCAAG
ensembl:lncRNA